rnacentral:rRNA from 1 species
UACGGAGGAUCCAAGCGUUAUCCGGAAUUACUGGGCGUAAAGAGUUGCGUAGGUGGCAUAGUAAGUCAGUAGUGAAAGCGUGUGGCUCAACCAUAUAUACAUUACUGAAACUGCUAAGCUCGAGGAUGAGAGAGGUUAUUGGAAUUCCCUGUGUAGGAGUGAAAUCCGUAGAUAUAGGGAGGAACACCGAUGGCGUAGGCAGAUAACUGGCCCAUUCCUGACACUAGGGCACGAAAGCGUGGGAGCAAACGGG